AGGAUGAACGCUAGCGAUAGGCUUAACACAUGCAAGUCGAGGGGCAGCACGGUGUAGCAAUACACUGGUGGCGACCGGCGUACGGGUGCGUAACACGUAUGCAACCUACCCGCUAUGGGGGAUAACCCGGCGAAAGUCGGACUAAUACCCCAUACUAUUCUUACCGGGCAUCCGGUAGGUCUGAAAGAUUUAUCGAUUGCGGAUGGGCAUGCGGAUGAUUAGCUAGUAGGUGGGGUAACGGCUCACCUAGGCGACGAUCAUUAGGGGUUCUGAGAGGAAGGUCCCCCCACACUGGAACUGAGACACGGUCCAGACUCCUACGGGAGGCAGCAGUGAGGAAUAUUGGUCAAUGGGCGCUAGCCUGAACCAGCCAAGUCGCGUGAAGGAUGAACCAGAUCUAUGGUUUGUAAACUUCUUUUGCAGGGGAGUAAAGUGCGACACGUGUGUCGUAUUGCAAGUACCCUGCGAAUAAGCAUCGGCUAACUCCGUGCCAGCCGCCGC
rnacentral:rRNA from 1 species